AUUGAACGCUGGCGGCAGGCCUAACACAUGCAAGUCGAGCGGAGCGGCGGACGGGUGAGUAAUGCCUAGGAAUCUGCCUGGUAGUGGGGGAUAACGUCCGGAAACGGGCGCUAAUACCGCAUACUAUCAGAUGAGCCUAGGUCGGAUUAGCUAGUUGGUGGGGUAAAGGCCUACCAAGGCGACGAUCCGUAACUUGUCUGAGAGGAUGAUCAGUCACACUUGAACGGAGACACAGGCCAGACUCCUCCGUGAGGCAGCGGUGGGGAGUAUUGGGCAAUGGGCGCAAGCCUGAUUCAGCCAUGCCGCUUGUAUGGAGAAGGCCUUCGGGUUGUAAAGUACUUUCAGCGGGGAGGCGUUACCCGCAGAAGAAGCACCGGCUAACUCCGUGCCAGCAGCCGCGGUAAGUC
rnacentral:rRNA from 1 species